GAAUUUGACUCAAGUAUGGAGCAAAGUUUCAUUUAGAGAUAAAUUCCUAAGUAGGAAAAGUUAUUACAUUUAGAUACUUUAUUAGGAGUAGCUGAGCUCCCCUGCUAGAACCUCCAAACAAGCUCUCAAGGUCCAUUUGUAGGAGAAGAGAGGGUAGUCCAGCUUCCAAGACUCCAGACACAUCCAAAUGGGGCGCUGAAUGUGGCAGUCUGCCUUUCUUU
rnacentral:sRNA from 1 species